AGCGGCUGCAGCUCAGUCAUGAGUCACUUUUCUUUUUCCCUCUGUUCUGUUCUAAUUGUCAUCCAUUCUCCUCCUGACUUACCUCCUUUCGAGUCAGGACAAAGCAGAACAGUUUCCCAAGUCCCCUGCCGGGUCACAAACUCUUGGUAAGUAGCAACCAUAAGAACAACAGGGAGGAGAACACAUAGUUAAUGGUACAAGGGAUGAUGGCAGUUUUUCCGAGAAGGCGAUAGAGAGAAGUGUGAGUGAGCCUUGGGAUAGGGCAGACAGGAAUGAAUUUGGACAAACGAAAUAAAAUGAUCAUCAGUCUCAAUUUAUUUUAUCUCCAUCUUAAGAUGGGGACAACAGUACUUUAUUACAAUCUGAGUAUUUUCAGGAUUAAAUAAUACAUAGUAUUUUGAGCAUUGCAGCAUUCAAUAAAAAUUUCCUUCCUUUUCCUGCCUUUUCCCCUUAGGCUGCUCUUAAUGUAAGUAUAACUUCUUAAAAGAUAUUCUCAGAAGUGUCCAAUUUUUUUCUAAAUGUUACACGUAAUGAUAGUAUUCAGACUUUAGCCCACAGUGUUAGUUAAACUGUUCUGGAAGUUUCGGCCGGUGCUUCUGAGCUUCAUCCUUUAAGAAAGUAUUGCAGUAACUUAAAAUUACAUCUGACUGAGGAUUCUUCAUUAAAGCAACUUCAUAACUGGGAGCAGGGGAUUCUGAGAAGGUGGCAACCUAACUCUUCUACCUUUCUCUUCUACCUUCAGCUUAAAUCUAUCUUCUCUUCCGUAGCUGCUGGGGCUUUCAAGCAAUGGGGUCAAGGUCAGACUUGGAUUCUAUUCUACAAUGACAUCUGAACAAGUCCUCAAAGGCCAAUCUGAGUCACAGGCAGUGAUGCAGAUGGUAUUGUACAUCGCCUAGCUGGCCAGUUUGGAUCUGUGGAUCACCCCACUGGAAGGUUGCCUUGAAUUCUGUGUAAGUGUUCUGGAGGCCAAAAAGAAACCACUAAACCCAUGAAAAGCUGUCAGGGAUCCAUGAGUUUUCUCCCAGAUGCCUCACUAGGGGACUGUGGUCUGCUUAUUUCUGUUAAAUAAGCAGGAGGCCAUUAGCCUGAGGUUGUUUCCAUGCUUUGAGUUCCUAACUAAUGGCAGCCUAACUCAGUAUAUAAAUAAACUGGAACCCAAUUUAGGAAUGUGACAAAUAGCUGAGUUUCAGCCAAUCACAAGGAGAGGGUUUCAGCAACACAGGCAGCCAACACAUCACCCCAUACCCAAUAAGGCAAAUGCCUCAUCACACCAAGCCCAAAUAGAUGGCUAGUUGUAACUACUCAUGUGAUUUCUCUACUUUGCUUCUACAUUCAGCCUAUAAAAGCUUACUGCUCACACUGCUGGGCAGAGUUCUCUGAACAUCUGGUUCUAAAGUGCUGCCUGAUUCAUCAAUCAUUCUUUCUUCAAACCGUGCUAAAUCUAUAUUGUCUAAAGUUUUUCCUUUAACAUUUCUAUACCCCAGCCCACAGUAGGCAAGACAUCUAUCUUCUACCAAGCACAAGUCUAUGGUCACUAAGGUACUGCAACGGUCUCAUAAAAGUGGGAGCAUAACUUUCCUAAUAUGAAAGGAAAUGAUAGGAACUCAUCUGAUUUACCAUAAAAUUAAUAAUUAUGCAUAGUAAGUAAGGAAAAAUGAAUAAAGAACACUUAUUCCCUACCUCUCUAGUUUUCCUGUGUAGAGUCUUCCUUAUAAUAGCAUCAAUGAUCUCCUACCUCACCCAUUACUUCUCUUCCUUGAGGAGUGUGAAACCUGAUUAGAGGUGGUAGCAGUCUGCCCAAGUUUCUUGAUUGGAUAAUUUUUAUUCCAUUAAAAGACUAUAAGCAGAAGGGAAUUGAUUCUUUUCUCUUUUUGCUCUAAUUCAAAAGGAACAGCAAUCCUUGGUAAACGUGUGCAUUCUGGAGACUCGCAUGUACGUUGGAUGAGCCAUCUCACGAUUGGUGAUUGAGAAGCAGAACAGUCCUACUUGAGUCCAUUUUUCUCUCAGACCUAAGCCAUGCUGUCAAACAGCUUAAACUCUGUUAUGAUUGCCAUCAACCUACCUGCUACAUCUAUCUCUCAAUUGCCUUCAAAUUUGAGCGGGGAAGAUAGGCAUUCUUUUCUUAAGCCUCCUCAGACUCUCUGUUGGGGUUCUUCAGAGGAACAGAACUGAUAAAAUAUAUGUAGUUAUAAGAGUGGAUUUGUUGGAUUCACUUACAUGAUCAGAGGCUGAGUAGUCCCCCAAUAGCCCUCUGCAGGCUGGAGAGCCAGGGAAACCCACUAGCAGCUCAGUCCAAGAAGCUGGGAGCCUCAGCACAAAAUGGGCCAAUAAGGCAGCCCCAGUCAGAAUGAUGGUCUGGAAAGCCCUUUGAAGAGAUAUUGGAGCAAAUCUGCCACUGAGAAAAUCUGUAUUCAAAGGCUAAAGAAUCUAACUUUGAUGUCCAUGGAUGAUGGCAGCAGGAAAAAAAAAUGCACCCACUCAAGAAAGUUCAAGCUCAGUUGCAUAAUUGAGCUUUCUUCUUCCACAUUUUCAUUCUGUCUGGACCUCCAACCUACUGGUCAAUGCCACCUGCAUAUAGGGCCAGUUUUCCCCACCAGUUUGAUGACCCACAUGCCAGUCUUCUCUGGAAACACUCUCACAGAUACACGCUGACAAAUGCUUCACUACUUUUCUAGGUAUUCCUCAAAUUUAGUCAAGCUGACAACCAAAAUUAGCCAUCACAAAUCCCAACACAUUUCUUUCAAUGUAAUUUCUCUGAUUCUAUCACAUAGCAUUUAAGAUUUAAAAAAAUCAAUCAAUGCUGCCAGGACUGGGAAAGACUCAUAGGGCAGAUUUGUAUUUUAGAACCUUUGGAUUCUUUGCACCUGGCACAGGUACAGGCCCAGAAUGAAUGUGGAUCGGGUGGCAAGGGAAAACUGCUACAGCAACUCAAACUGUUUGCAAGUCAUCAAUCUUGCCUUGCUUUCUGAGCCACACUCUCAUGGAACUCAGAUUCUAGUGCCCUGGCUCAUCUUCACCCAUUUCCAUGCCUGCUCCAGCUUGGUUCAGUCUAAAUCCCUACUUGUUCCUGCAUGAGUAAUGGACAUUUAGCAAGUGUUACCUACUCACAAAGAACGCUUUCUACGAGAACAUCACAUAGUUAAAUUUGAUACGACAUUUUACUAUCUUUGUCAAAUUAUAUGCAGCACAUCUGUAAAUUUUUCUUCCAGUUGAAUUAAGUAAUUGGUCCUUGGCAUAAGCAAAUCAAAUCUAUACCUGAGCAUAAUAAAAUUUAUUUAACUUUAGUUGGAGUGCACAGCCAGAUAGUCACAUCAAAAAAAAAUUUUUUUGAUAAGUUUGAUCCAGCAAAAUCUCUCAAUUCCAGCACUUUUAUUAAUGUAACUGUCCUAGUUAACAUUAGCACACCUGGCUUUACUAUGAAUAUGGUAACAAGGCAAUGGAUUUCUCUUGACUUAACUCUUCCUUUUCCUUGUCUCUACACCCACCCUCUCUCUCUCUCUCACACACACACACACACACACACACACACACACACUAUAGCUUUUAAUUGAACUCUGCAGCCUCUGUAUUUAGGAAAUGAUUUUGCCUUUUCCUGGAGCAGAGAGCUUCUUCCCAGCAGUGUCCAUGAAGCCUAGGCUAGAAUACCACUGGAAUGGAGAGGCACUGUUCUCAAAGCAGCCUGUGCUACUUUCAGGCCUCACUAAAAGACACCAGGCAGGAAUUGGGUGAUACAAUCAAAUGGAUAAUUUGAGAAUAAUUUAAUAAGAGGCUAUUGUGAGGGUUCAUGUAGUGCCCCAGCACUAGCCAUCCCAGUAGCCUAUGGGCUGAAAGGAAGUGGGAAUUCACAGAAUUCAAAUAGAGCAGGAUGUGAUGCCAGCCCAUGGUAACGCCUUGGGAAGGAAGCUUAGCUAAUAAUUCCUGAACCCUAAUUUCCUCUUGCCCUCUUAAGCCUGUGGUGUAUCUCAUUGGCUAAAAGCAACCAAAAGUUGGGAUUUACAGAGAGACAAGAAAGGGCACAAAUUGUAAGAAGGUGCUUAGUGUGAGGUCUGUGCGACAGCAAGGUCAAGCCUGCAAGUAAAUGCCCCCUUCUGUGUCUAGGUGCCUCUCCUGCCUCAUUUUAGUCCCAACCCUGGGUUAAGUGAGUCCAGUGAAGUGAUUCAUAUAAAUCAAUUCUGUUUGUUCUCCCAAGCAUGACAAAUAGAUUUGAAGGUGAACCGGAAGAUAUUGAGCACAAAUUGUCAGGAAGUUCUCAUUGUCAUAUGUUAUAAAACUGUGGCUUCCACUAACCCCACUUGAUCCACUGUGCUUGAUCCAGAAACAAUACCUGACCCAGUUAGAUUUCCUUUAAGUAUAAUUUUCAAAAGUUGAGCUUGACUCUCAUAGAAAUAUAAACUGAACACUUCUAAGUUUUAUUCAACCCAUUAAUUAAUAGAGAUGCUAAACUAGUUUGAAAGAAAAUAUGAGGACAUUUAAAUAGUCAAGGAAGCCAAAAAAAAAUGCUAAAGUUAAUAUGCUAAUGAAUGCGAAGCUGGUCAAUACUGUAAAGGUGAAAAAUUGAAAACUUUGGGGCUAUCUUUUCUGCUGGAAGGAAAUCAAUGCUAUCUCUACAGAUAAUUUCAUUUGCAUUGCUAAGGCAGGUAAUCUUUGCAUUAUUAUUGGUUUUCUAUGAGUUAACCUCUUCUAAAUAGCCCUAGACUUAAUGAAUCCACCAGAUAUCCAUCAGAUAAUUCCCAGCAUUCUACUGCAAUGCAUUCAGUAAUCAUCUCUCCUAUCUCUAAGUGCUGGAUAAUGUUUUUAAACAUUUCUCUUCUCCUGGAAGCCAUUCAGAUGUUCAGUGACACCAGGAACAGUUCAUCUUUCUCUGGGAGUCAGGUGCCUAGAGUUGGACGCAGGUGUGGUGUGAAUAAAAGAGUGUCUUAUUUCAGGAACCCAAAAGGAAAACUAAAACCAGUCAUUAUUAAAGCCAAAGAGAUAAUAUUAAUUGUAAAUCCUAUUUACUGCUUAUUUUACUCUAAGGAACACCUUUAUUGUGGACGUUCUCCGCCCAGAAAAGACAUAGGGCUGUGCCUGUACAGCUUUAACAGUGAGACCACAAGAAAGAAGAAAAGGACUCGUCAGACAAGUAGGGUGCAAUGGUAGACUCCAAGGUGGCCUUUAAUUUGUCAACAGGCCUAUAGAGAGACAAUAGUUUAUUUGAUCCAAAUACUUCACUUUCUGUGAACAAUAUGUCUAGAACCAAAAUAUGGGCUCUCCGUUUUGGAUAUGAAUUACCUAUUUAGUGGUUCCAAGUAAUUGGUCUUCAGAGGCAGUUUUCUUUCUUUCUCUUGACUUUUCUCCUGGCAUCCUUAUAUUUUUUGCUUUUUUUCCUCUUUUCUUUCAUUGUUUUGCUUGUGACCUUAGAGACAAUAAACGGUCUUGUAAAUCUUCCAGACUAGAGUUGUCUAAUAGCUGUUUCUAUCAGCAAUGAUAGAACUAUCAGUAUCACUGCUAAGUAGAGUAGCUGCCAGCCACAUGUAACUCUGAAACACUUAGAAUGUUUCCAGGGCAGUCCUUUUAAAACUCAGCAUUAUUAAUACUUGGGGCUGGAUAAUUAUUUGUUGUUGAUGACAUUGCAGAGAAAACACAUCUGUCCUUCUGGGUAGGACCCAACACCAUCAUCCCAUUUGACUUUAGCCCUGUUCUCCCAGCCCUCAGCAAUCUUAUUUAACUCCUGUUGACUUCCCCUCAUAUAUUCAGUCCCUGUGGCCAUCUCAAACUCUCCCACUCUCAUCAAUCUCUUGACCUCAUCCUGCCCACCAGUUGCCAGAAGAGAAGCAAAACAGCACCAAUUGCAACUGUUGUAUGAGAUCACUUCCUCAUGUAAUUCUGGAGUUUACUUAAAAUUUCCCAUUCUCAUGAGGAUGAUAAAUAUUAGUGAAUUUCUUCAUUCUGUGAGAAAUUCAAACUGGGGUUACCUGUCUACCUAGAUCUAAGAGAGGAAGCUAAGUAAACAAAAACAAGAACAAAAACAAAAGCGCAAGCACGCGCGCACGCACACACACACGCACACACAAUGAAUGAAGAUAUAAGAGUAUAAGAGGCCAGGGUUCAACAACCAGUUCUGUUAACUCAUGUUCAUUUGGUAAAGACCUUCAACCUCUUCAAACCUUAGGUUCCCCACCUGUAUAACAGGAAAAAAUGUUGAUUUUUUUUCCUAAGAUUUUGGAUGAUCUUUCUAGGUCUAGACUUUUAAGAUUAAACCCUUUUCUUCUUUGCUAUUAAAUUUUCAAUUUAAAAAAAUAUUUAUUGAGUGCUUACUAUGUGCCAUCACUGAGCUACCUGCUGGGAAUGUAACGGUGACAAAACAGACUUGGCUUCUGCCCUCUGGUAGCUUUGUGGGAAAGCUGGCUACCUACCCAAUGCUUUACCUUGGGAAUGUUCAACUCUUGAGAGAACAAGUGGUCUAAGCAGAAGGUUGUAUUGCUCUAUUCCUGGGUUAACCCACAGGAUACUACGAAAGUGAGACUAGGCUUCCCCUCAGUUCACGAUUUCUUCCAUGCACCUUUAUUAACUGCGUAACAGCACUGGAGAUUCUAUGUAAAUGCUUCUACAAGGAACCCAGAACAGACAUCAGCCAAUCAGAACAAACUAUGACUAAAAUAUGUUGUCACUCUUAGACUUAUUCCUUUGGUUGCUGGUGUAUGAUGAGGUCUGGCAGAUUCCACAGAAGGGACCAGAGUGACCAUGGUAUUAGGUCAAUUCUUGGAGGACUUGGGGAAGUUACUUUUUUUCCCCCAGUUUUUAUAGAAAUAUUUCAAUAUUCUAGUUAUAGGGUGGCCAUACUGGUAUGCUAUUAUUGAAUACAAACCCUAAGUAGAAUUGAUGAGCUAAUGUGGACACCCAGCUAUAUUAUUUAUCAAUAGCAUUGAUCUUUCCAAGAUCACCAAAGUCUAUAAUACUUCUAACAUUUUUAGCAAUGUCUACUUGGACAAUCUUAAUUUUAAUUUCAAUCUUAAUUUUAUUUUGCUCAUUUGACUCUACCCAGGACUUCCUUCUCCUGAGCCAUUUCACAGUUCUUUUCUCUGAGUUCAAAGUAAAUUUAUCCAGGGUCUGAGCCUGUGGUGCAGUGGUGUAACACUUGCCUAGCAUGCACAAAGCCCUGGAUUCAAUCCUUGAUCCUCCAAAAAAGAGAAAAAAAAAGAAAGAAAGAAAAAUAGGUUUAUACAUCACCUCCUUGUAUGGACAUGUUAUUCUAAUACUUGUAAUGGUUUAGAGUCCUACACUGUCUUGUUUGGCUCAAUGCAAUGUCCUUCCUUGGAAAUAACUCUAAUGGUAGUUAUUUUUCUCUAAGUAUGGAGAAACUAUUUCAUGCUUCUAUAAUCCAGAAUGUGUGAAGAAUUAUUCCACUUCUCUAUCUCUCUCUCCCUUCCUCCUUCCUUUCUUUCCUCCUCCUUUUCCUUCCUUCCUUCCUUUGUUCCUUCCUUCAUUCAUUCCUUCAUUCCUUCCCUCCUUUUGUUAUUCAUUCAUUAAUUUAACAUACAUACAGUGUAUAUCUUCUGUUCUGUGUACUGAAAAUAGAGCUAUGAGCAAAAACUGAGUUCCCCACUCUUAGGGACGUGGAUGAAGAUAUCAAUGGAACUUAAUUUCAUGGUUCCUCACUUUCAUUAGCUUUUUCUUAGGCCCCAUAGGGGGCAUUAGCAAAAUAUUACCUGUCUUAUGUAUUUUACAAAUUUUAAAAAACAUACAAUUAUUUGCCAGUGUCCCUUUCCACUCCAAUAUUUCUGCCCUUGCCUUUUUAAUAGAUGAUAUUUAAAUGGCAAAAGAUAUUUUAGGAAUUCUUCUAAGGAGAAGCUGCAUUAGGAAUAAAUCUAAUCUGGAUCUAUAGAGGUGGCAUGCAACCAUAUCUAUACAGAGGCAUUUAAUUAAUGGCUUCCAAGAAUACUACUACUGCCUAUUGUGCUGUCUUAUCUACUGCAGAACACAAUGGUACAAGUUCAGAGAACAUAACAUGAAACAAAAUGUGUCCUAUGGUGGCCACUGUGAAGUUUGUGGCUAGAAGCAGAAACAAGAUUUGAAACAUAAAGUUGGAAGCUAGCGGUAAAACACAUUUUCAUCACCAAUACAGCUACUAGCAAAGAACUGAGGUGUCAUUAAUACUGAGAAUAAGUUCUUGCUUGUUGAAAAUAUGCUAAAAAUGUGUAUACAGUGAAAGAUAUGUUGUAUUCUUAAUUUUUUCAUAGGAACUAUGCAAAAUAGAAGUCAUCAGAAUUCCUGUGUUUGUAGAACACAGAUUUGUAGCUAUACUUCAGUGAGUCUGUUAAGUGUGAAGAUGCAUGUUUUAUAAAUCCCAAGUAUUGAUAAUAAAAAUAAACUAGCAAAGCACUAAAAGAGAAAAUGAGUUAUUUUUCAAUUAAUUUAUGAGAACUGUAGUACAGAAUUACUAUUAUAUACAGAGGUAAGUAUAUAUAUAUAUAUAGCUGAAGACAGAAAAUUAAUAAAACUAUUGUUAAUUUUCUGCUACUUGUCACAUUUUUAAAAUGUCUUAGUUCUGAUUCCCUGUGAGUAGACAGUAAGUUUUAUACUUUGCCAUGACCUGUGUGGCAUCAAAAAAGAAUCUCAAGUAGGGGCAACAGGAGAUGGAGAAAAACACAGAGACAAAGAAAACACAGAGAAAUUUUUAAGCAAAGCUGGGACCAGGUGGGACACUGCACUCUGAUGGAGAAACAGUGACCCAGAACUAGCUCUGCAAGUUUAUUACAUAGGGUCUCAUAAUCAGGAAGUUUAACUAUAUGAGCAUUGUAAAUUAUUCAAGGCUUGUGAGUUAUCAAGAGGUUUUUUUUGUGCAUUAAAAAGUUACAAAGCUAGAAACAUUUUUGCAGCUAUCCUACCAUUACAGUGCUAAGAACAUCCUGCUAUUACCCUGCUGCAUCCAGGAAGCCUUUUGUACUAGAACAUCGGAUAACUGUUAGCAUCAGAGCCAGUGUCAAGGCUGUUAAAAUCCUCGCCUUUUGGCAAGGAAUGUUUCCCAGGUUUGGCUUUUGCCAACACCGCAGGAUCAGCGAUGACCUGGGGCUCAUCUGCUCUCUACAGUUCUUCAUUUAUAGUUUUAUUUAUUUAUUUUUCUUAAAAAGGGCUCCCCCUUUGUCAAAGUGAACCCUACUGUUAUGUAUAACUAUAAUGCACUAAUAAAAAUAUUAAAAAAGAAAAAAAAGGGCUCCCCCAAACUUCGAGUCUUAUAAACCUUACAUCGACUUCUGCUCAUGGAGCUAAUAUUUUAUUGGGAGGACACGUAAAAUAAACAAAUAUAACGUAGUCAAGAAAUGGCAAACCUGGGCUGGGAUUAUGGCUCAGCAGCAGAGUGCUUGCCUCGCACAUAUGGGGCACUGGGUUCAAUCCUCAGCACCAUACAAAAAUAAAUAAAUAAUAAAGGCAUUGUGUCCAUCUACAGCUAAAAAUAUAUUUAAAAAAAGAAGAAGAAGAACUGGCAAACCUAAGACUACAAGAUAGGAUUAGAGGACAGAGAACCUAGGAACCCGCAACAUUUAAAAUAGGUUGGUCAAUGAAGACCACUUUAAAAAAACAACAACAACAAAAAAAAACUAAGAUUUUAUUUGAAUUUUACUAGCUUUUCAAAAAUGUGUUUUUUUCUGAUCUGGAUUCAGCAUGGCACAUUGAAUUUAGUCAGCAUGUCUCGUACUUGUUCUCUGAUCUGUCAUUCCUUAUUUUUUAUUACCUUGAGUGUGUUUCAUAUUUUUCUUUCUUUCUUUUCUUUCCUUCCUUUCUUUUCUUUCCUUCCUUUCUUUUCUUUCUUUCUUUCUCUCUUUCUCUCUCUCUUUCUUUCUUCCUUUCUUUCUUUCUUUCUUUCUUAUUAGAUGAGGGUUGUGAGCUUUGGAGAAGGGAACCACAGAAGUGUGCAUUCUCAUCAUAGCGGUGAGAAAUAGGUCAACCACAUGACUUCAUUCACUGGUGACACUUGGUUAAGGUAGUGUCUGCCAUGUUCUCUAAUAUAAAGUUAUUAUUUUCUUUAUGCUUUGUCAGAAUAUUUAUUAAAGUAACUAAGACAAGCCUGCACUCAAGGGUAAGAAAUUAAGCUCUAUUCCCUUUAGAAAGAAAUAUCAAGGAUUUAUGGAUACACGCUAUAAUGUGUAUAGUGAUAUCUCAUUCUGAUUUUCACAUAAUUUCCCUGAAGACACACAUUGAACAUCUUUUCAUGUAUGCAUUUUUCACCUGUACAUUUUCUUUGGUGAGGUGUUUGUUCAGAUAUUUUCCUAAUUUUUAAUUGCUUAUUUUUUUUUCUUAUU
rnacentral:lncRNA from 1 species